rnacentral:tRNA from 1 species
GCCUGGGUGGCUCAGUCGGUUGAGCGUCCGACUUCAGCUCAGGUCACGAUCUCACGGUCUGUGAGUUCGAGCCCCACGUCAGGCU